UACGUAGGUGGCAAGCGUUGUCCGGAGUUAUUGGGCGUAAAGCGCGCGCAGGCGGUGCGGUAAGUCUCUGGUGAAAGCGCUCGGCUUAACUGGGCGAGGGCCGGGGAGACUGCCACGCUGGAGGGGAGCAGAGGCGAGUGGAAUUCCGGGUGUAGUGGUGAAAUGCUUAGAUAUGACAUAGAACACCGAUUGCGAAGGCAGCUCGUUACACGCAUAUUGACUCUGAGGCUCGAAAGCGUGGGGAUCAAACAGG
rnacentral:rRNA from 1 species